AGAGUUUGAUCCUGGCUCAGAACGAACGCUGGCGGCAUGCCUAACACAUGCAAGUCGAACGAAGUCUUCGGACUUAGUGGCGCACGGGUGCGUAACGCGUGGGAAUCUGCCCUUGGGUGCGGAAUAACUUCUCGAAAGGGAUGCUAAUACCGCAUAAUGUCGUAAGACCAAAGAUUUAUCGCCCAAGGAUGAGCCCGCGUAAGAUUAGCUAGUUGGUGGGGUAAAAGCCUACCAAGGCGACGAUCUUUAGCUGGUCUGAGAGGAUGAUCAGCCACACUGGGACUGAGACACGGCCCAGACUCCUACGGGAGGCAGCAGUGGGGAAUAUUGGACAAUGGGCGAAAGCCUGAUCCAGCAAUGCCGCGUGAGUGAUGAAGGCCCUAGGGUUGUAAAGCUCUUUUACCAGGGAUGAUAAUGACAGUACCUGGAGAAUAAGCUCCGGCUAACUCCGUG
rnacentral:rRNA from 1 species